UCUUUUCCGACAAAACUUGGAAGCGAGAUGAUUGUGUAAUUGAUAUGUCUUGCUUCUUGUGAGUUUACAGGGAUUCCUGGAGUUCUCUUCGUGCUUCCGGAUUCUUAUGUUGAUCCAGAGUACAAAGAUUACGGAGCUGAGUUGUUUGUGAAUGGAGAAGUAGUUCCGCGUCCACCAGAGAGAUAGAGGAAGAUACUGGAGUUAACGACUCAAAGAAGCUCGGAUAAACCGAGGUACAAUGACAAAACCAGAAAUGUUCGACGGAGAGAUAACAUGCGGUCAGACCUUCAGUACUCAAGAGUCUUUUGCUAAACAUCUCCUUUCCCUUUUAACUUCGUUCGCAUGUGCCUUUUUUGGUUUAUGUUAUUUGCAUCACUCUAUAUAUGAAUAAUGUAAAUUGUGAUCAUGAUGAUGAAGCUUAUUUAAUAGUAACUCUUUAUCAUUUAUCAA